CUGCCCUCGCCCCCGUCGUCGCCCCACCACUGCUCGCCGAUCCGCCGACUCCAUCGCCGUUCCUCUCUGGCCUCCGCCACCGCCGGCUCUCUCCGCCCUCCGUCGCGCUGUUCUUCUUCCUCUCCCCAUCCUCUCCUAAUCUUCUCCGGCGCGCGCACUCGCGGAUGCAGGCGAAUGGCUCGGGCAGGAGACGUGGCUCACAAUGGCGGCGUCUCUCCUCGGGAGGAGCUCGGGCAUUGAGGUCGGGGUGUGCGCUGCCCCUAGGACGGAGUCCACCUACCCGUGCUGGUCAUGGUCCACCACCACCAUGCCUUCAAUCCGACCUCCACCACUCCAGCAAGCACGAGCAUCGCAAUGGCCACGGUUUGUAUGCUAAGAUGAACUUGAGUGACGAGGUUGAUUUGGAAGAUCAUGUCUCCAGACAGGAUAAAGUCAGUGCUGCUAUGUGAGUUGAUUUGCAAGAUUGUGUCCAAAUAGGAUAAAAUCAAUCCUGAUGAUGUGAGUGCCUUUUCAUUAUCUUGAACAUUCUUUUUCACUUGUACAACUUCAGCAUAGGAAAUUUCAUUGCCUCAGCUUAAUUAGAAAAUGAUAAUGAUUUCUAAACCAUUUACUCUUAAAAGCUUAUCAUAGCAAAUGCGGAAAAUGAAUGAGAUCAGGAAGGUAGGCGGACGACUUGACCAUAAGGUCGGAUGUUUUCCUGAGUAGUAAGCAGCAGAUCUGCCUUUCUUGGGGGAAAGCCGGUGGCCCUUUUGUCAUGUUAAUUCUUUUGACGGGUGCCCUUCUGCUCACCAUACAUUUGUUUCAUAUAUAUUGACACCUAUAAUAGUAGUAGCAACGCCUGAUUAUGAGAUGUUAUGCAAUUGCUUGUGUAAAUUAGGCAGGCCUUUUCUACCUCCUCCUGUGUGUUAUUCACUGUGACAUUCGUUUUCAGUUUGCUGCUAUUUAACAGGAAGCUAGCAUGCCUGUUGUCUGCAAAAAUCGGUAAUGUUAUCCUGCCCAAAGACUUCGAGAAGGGUUACUGAACCAACGUCAAGAAGCCUUAGACAGACUUCGACUUCUACAAAUGAGGCAACAAACUAUUAAUGAGGAUGCUUUAUUUCCUAAGGGCAACAAUUAUUAACACUAGAGUUAAAUUUGUUGACGGUCGCGUCCGACAGUAAUAUCCCUGUAUCUUGGUGCUCCUGUAGUUUGCACAUUCAAUCUCACCAUUGUUGUUAAGCUACUUGCCUACACAAAGCGUCAUGGGAGUUGCUUCCCUGUGAGAGAGAAGAGUUCAAAAAGGGAGAGAGCAAAGAAGAAGGAAAAGGAGAGGGCAGUGGGGUCAUGCGGAGACUGUGGCCGGUGAGGCAUAACUGGAAGUUUCUCUAAUGGUUGACAACAAGGUACCCCACUGCUCUGAAUAUUUACAUGGUUAAUGUGAGUUGAAUCAUCAAAGGUCUGCGCAUUGGUAAUGGUUUAAAAAUUCAUCGCAUUAGAGAAAACUGAAUGGUCUGUCAGUUCUUUAAUAAGUAAUACAUAUUACAGAAUGUACCUUUCUGUUUGAUCAUAGGAUCACUGCACAACAGGCUUUGGAGCAGUCUCUGAUUCACAGAGAACUCUCCAACAACCUCAUAUUUUGAGGAUGUUAGAUGGAUAUUGAAUCCAGUAAGCCUCCAAUAGAUAAAGGAAGGCAAUUUUUCUGUUGGUAAUUUGCACGACAGGGUUCUAGCAAAUUUAUGAUUGUGCCUACAACAGACUACCUCUGCGUGAAGAUUCGAGGUGUGACUCAAAUUUCGUUAGAAAUGAACAAUCAAGAUCUCGGUUUUUGUCAUGCAUAUUCAUAUGAAUUUAUUAUUUAACAGAUCAUAAUUUUUUAUUCUAUAAUUAGAUCUUGGUAUGUUUUCAGAUUUUUCAGAGAAGAAAGAACUCUAGAGGUGUGCAUGUUUGUCCUAUUUUUUAUAGAGAAUCAAGUCUGCAGAAUACCUACUGAUUUGAGGAUUCGGAUGUUACCCAUGGUCAUGCACGGAUGUAGUUUAUGAGCAACUAUCUUAUGUUGAUGGUGUGUAAGCAUAUCAGCCUCCCGGUUGCCUAUUUCAUUCCUCACGGGACCAUUAUGCUUGGCUAAUGGAGGUUGCAGAAGGUGAUGUACCAAUUGCAUCACAUGGAGCUGAAAUUGAAAUGUACAAGGAGCUUGAACCAUCGACUCGCUUACUGAUCUUGAAAGCGAUAUGCGACAUACGUGUCGAGGGUGCGAACGGGGACAAUGAGUAGGUGGCGAGUAAUACUAUGUCGAGAAUCGAUACAGGGGCAUGAAGCAAGCGAGCAGGUGUGCGCAGCGACCCGCUACUGCAAAAAAUAGCCUUUACAGAGCACCGGGCCGGCUCGACAGGGCAUGCCGCCCGCCGGUGGACACGUGGAUGUGCGCGACGGAGAUGAACCCCGCGUCGUCGCCUCUGCAGCCUGGACAGAGCUCCGCCAGUACUAGUGAUGGAGCUCUCCAUCUACUUUCUCCACCUGCUAUGAGAGAGUAGAGAUCAUAUAGUGGAUUUGUUUUUUCUUCAGAGAUGUGCUCCCGUCGUUGUUGGCUGUCGAAUUUGUGAUGCAAUCCGUCUCUAUGUCAAUGUCUUAACCACUUCGUACUUCUGCACAAUCAGCAGAACAUAACAGCUGCCACAGUUUACCCAUUGAUUUCCUGGAGUGAUUCAAACCUAGGAAAGUCUGCUACUUGUGCAAGCAACAGGGUAAGAAGUUUCACUUUUCUUACUAAUGCACCUCAAUUCGUAAGGUUAGAAUAUUUUAUUCACCCAUCCUAUUUUUUACUAUAAUGAUGAUAAUUUUUUCAUCUC